GCUUCCUCCUUUGUCAUCCCAGUGCUUGACACUGGGAUCCAGGAAUUUUGAUUGGACAACGAGUUGGUAAGUGUAAAGGUAGCUAAUCUUAUGUUAAAACAUAACGUUUUUAAUGGGAUUGCGUGAAGACUGGAUUCCAGUGUCAAGCACUGGAAUGACACCAUCCUUUUUU
rnacentral:ncRNA from 1 species